rnacentral:lncRNA from 1 species
UUGCGAGGAAUCUAUCGAUUAGAUCAAAAUCAGAGCUCAGUGAUCGAACUCAUUAAUGUAUGUUCCCAUUACGUUUUCUUCAGUCAAUUGUCUCCCACGAUUAAAAUAUUACUAAUGUAGUACUUAGUAGUACAUGUGAAACCGAUGUAGCCUCACCUAAAACAUGCUACAAUUUAUUUGAUUUAGACAUUUUUAUAUAUACGUAAUUUCGAAACACGAUAAUAUUCGAUUCGAUGCAAGCAAUAGUCUACUAUACAAUUACACUAUUACUAGAAACAUGCGUGCUUGUCUAUCUCUCACCCCCCACCCUUUAAUAUAUAUAUCUUUUUACAAAACAGAUUUGCGACUGAGGAGUGUCACAUGUGCGAUGGCCCCAUGGGAGUAUUGAUCGUCACACAUCACCAUUAUUGCAAUAUAGUGAUAUCGAUUCACACUAAACGCC